GGCGGCGUAGCUCAGUCGGUAGAGCAAACGGCUCAUAAUCGUUGUGUCACCGGUUCGAGUCCGGUCGCCGCUACCA
rnacentral:tRNA from 1 species